CCCUUAGAUGUUCUGGGCCGCACGCGCGCUACACUGACGGAUUCAACGAGCUUACAACCUUGGCCGAAAGGUCUGGGUAAUCUCCAAAAUCCGUCGUGAUGGGGAUAGAUUAUUGUAAUUAUUAAUCUUCAACGAGGAAUGCCUAGUAAGCGCAAGUCAUCAGCUUGCGUUGAUUACGUCCCUGCCCUUUGUACACACCGCCCGUCGCUCCUACCGAUUGAAUGGUCCGGUGAAGCGUUUGGACUAUGGUUUUCUGAUGGUCCGCCGUUGGAUUACCGUGGGAAGUUCGUUAAACCUUAUCAUUUAGAGGAAGGAGAAGUCGUAACA
rnacentral:rRNA from 1 species